UCUUCAGCCUCCAUCCCUACCUCAAAACCCUAAAGUGAGUGAGUGUGUUUUGAAGCUUGAAGAGCCUUUUUGGUGACAUUCUAAUGCUCUUGGUGGUGAAGGAGGAUCCUAAAAGUUGUGGUGUUUCACUCAAGGCUUUGGAUCUGCAACUACUCUGUCUUGUGCAUCUUUUGGAGGUAUAGAGCUCCAGCUUGAUAAAUAUUUCAUUAAGAUCUAGUUAGUUUAAAGUUAGCAACCUUUUGUCCCAAAUCUUGAUCCUUGUGAGUAGGGAGUACUCCAAGAUGUUUGAGUUUUCCUUUUAGAUGUUAUAGGGUUUGUUAAGUCAUAAAAAUAUGAUCUUGGACAUUAGUUCCUUCCCAUGCAUGAUCUAGAUUUUCUUAAUGGGUCAUGAGACUAGGGUUUUUGGUAAGAAGAUAUUAUUAGCCAUGAAAAACCAUAAAGUUGGAAACUUCAUUGUUAAGAACACUUGUUAGGGUCUACAUGUAGAUUUUGGACGUAAGUGCUUAAGGAUUUAGCACUUAAUAGAUUGAGUGGGUGGCAGCCAUGGACGUUGGGCGUACCAAAGGGUACGCUGCAUGUUUAGGGUCAGCCCUUCGAUAUUUGGUAAAGCAAGCAGUACGCCCUACAUUCAACUUAGGAACGACCAACGUACUUACCGAGUUAAAUCGGAUGACUCAGUUGACUUUGACCUGUAUUCUGACCAGGGUCUGACCUAGGGGUAUUUAAGGUAUUUUGACCUAUUUGCUUAGUAUUGGUCAUUGUAUUUGUGAAGGUGAAUGGUAGAGUUGAUUUUAGAGUAGCGUGCUAUUUCCGUUUUCUCAUUUGUUUGUGAGGUGAGUUUUUCGUAUACAUGGGUUGAAGGCACCAAUACCAGCCCAUAUUUAGGUUAUAUAGAAUACUAGUUGCUAUGUGAUAUGUACUUGGUUGAUUGAUCGGGUUGAAAUAUAUCCCAGGAUGGACCCAUUGUGUUUUGUCGGGUUGAAGCAUUACCCAAGGGCGAGGCCCACUAUGAUAAGUUCGGGUUGAAAUAUACCCCAGGACGAGGCCUAGGGGGGCCAUAUUUGUUUAUUGGGUUGAAAUAUACCCUAGGGCGGGGCCCAUAUUGGUAUGUCUAGCAUGCGGUACCUUGGGGAACUCACUAAGCUCUGUCCUUACAGUUUAUGUUUAUUUUUUCAUGUACUUUUGGUUCGAAAUAGAAGGGCCCGACAUGAUAACACAUCAUCCUCCCCUCAUGAUUUCCGCAUUUUCAAUAAUUGUACUAUGAUAUUUUGGAUAUUAUAUCUAGUGAUUGUUUUGAAUCAAUUAAUCAACGAAAUUGAUAGUUUUUCAAUGAAAAUUUUUAUUAUGGUUUUUGGGUUGUUAAAAUUAAGUGGAGAACUUAGUAGUUGAUGUAAGUCAGUCAUUUCGUUCGGUUCUUACUGUGUUAUACUUUUGCAUGUUUAGAACCACUUAUAGAAUAUUAAGUUAUUCAAAAUUCUCGGUCGUAGUUUUGGAAGUAAGUAGUGAUUUAAGAUUGUUAUGGAGCAUUGGAAGAUUAUCCAUGGUGAUGCACGAAGAAAAAAUUGGAAUCGAUGCUCAUGAGUACUUUAAAUGGAGAUUUUAAGGUAUUAGAGUAACCCACACUUAGAGAUUACUUCAUGGAUUCUGUUACAAGUAAUUCUAAUAUGGUAAUAUCGUAUACUCUUCAAAUGGAGAUUCGUAAGAUUCUCUCUUACAAUCUUUUGUUUUUCUUGGUUUCCCCUAAACGUUGUUUGUAAAUGGCAAUCAUAAAGGGUUUGACUAGAUGUGACAUGAGGAAUAGGCGGAAUCUUUGUAGUCGAGGUUUAUUUGUUUGCUUCUCCUCCAAAAAAAUAAAAAUAUAUAAUAUUGUUCCCAUUGAUAAUUUGGUGUUGACAUUAAAAUGCUUGGUCACGCUCAGACUGAAUUGAUGAAUCAAUUAUGCAGUUUUCUUUUGAUUGAUACAAGUUAGUAUCGGGAAACAACAUCUUGAACAUUUGAGAUUGAAUAUAUCAAUGUCUCAUAUUCAUAUACAUAUCUUGAAGAACAAAUGAACAUUUGAUCACUUAUCUAAAGGAUAUAUCACAAUUCUAUUUUAUGAGAAUGGCAAAUAAAUUUAACUAGAUCCUCUAUACUCAUUACUAUUAAAUAUUAGACCAUAUAGUCUUGGUGACUUGUGCAAGUUGAGGUCUUAGAAAAUGGUGCCUAGAGUUACAACACAGUCACAACAAUUAGUACAAGCGGAUUGAUAUGUAAGUUAUUAGUACAUAAUGUUAUACGGUGCAAGUUUGGGUAUACACAUAACCGUUAUUACCCUUUGAGGGAUGAAUCACCUGAUAAUAAAAAGAAAAUAUAUAAAAAGGCUACAUUGGAUUGGGUAGGUGGCAGCCACGAACGUUGGGCAUAACAACGGGUAGACUGCACGAUCAGGGUCAGCCCUUCGACAUUUUGUCAAGCAAGUAGUAUUACCGAUUUAUAGAUUAUUAAGUUAUUCAGAAUUCUCGGUCGUGCUUUUGGAAGUAAGUAGUGAUUUAAGAUUAUAAUGGAGCAUUGGUAGAUUGUCCAUGGCGAUGCAUAAAGAAAAUUUUGGAAUAAAUGCUCAUGAGUACUUUAAAUGGAGAUUUUAAGGUAUUGGAGUAACCCACACUUAGAGAUUACUUCAUGGAUUCUAUUACAAGUAAUUCUAAGAUGGUAAUAUCAUAUAUACGUCAAACGGAGAUGCUUGGGAUUCUCUCCUACAAUCUUUUUUAUUUUGGUUUCCCCCAAACAUUGUUCAUAAAUGGCAAUUAUAAAGGGUUUCAGUAGAUAUGACAUGCGCAAUAGGCAGAAUCUUUUAAGUCGAAGUUUGUUUGUUCGCUUCUCCCUCAAAAAAUAAAAACAGAUAUCAUUGUUCCCAUCGAUGAUUUGAUUUUGACAUUAAAAUACAUGGUCGUGCUCAUACUAAAUUGAUGGAUAAAUUAUGCAGUUUUCUUUUGAUUGAUACAAAUUAGUAUCGGGAAACAAAAUCUUGAACAUUUGAGAUUGAAUGUAUCAAUGUCUCAUUUUCAUAUACAUAUCUCGAAGAACAAAGGAACAUUUGAUUACAUAUCUAAGGGAUAUAUCACAAUUAUAUGUUUUGAGUAUGACAAAUACAUUUGACUAGAUCCUCUCUACUCAUUACUAUUAAAUAUUAGACCAUAUAGUCUUGGUGACUUGUGCAAGUUGAGGUCUUAGAAAAUGGUGCCUAGAGUUACAACAAUUAGUACAAGCGGAUUGAUAUGUAAGUUAUUAGUACAUAAUGUUAUAAGAUGCAAGUUUGGGUAUACACAUAACCGUUAUUACCAAUUGAGGGGUGACUCACCUGAUAAUAAAAAGAAAAUAUAAAAAGAAAAGUUUAG
rnacentral:lncRNA from 1 species